rnacentral:rRNA from 1 species
CCUGGCUCAGAUUGAACGCUGGCGGCAUGCUUUACACAUGCAAGUCGAACGGCAGCGCGGGGCAACCUGGCGGCGAGUGGCGAACGGGUGAGUAAUAUAUCGGAACGUACCCAGAAGUGGGGGAUAACGUAGCGAAAGUUACGCUAAUACCGCAUACGAUCUACGGAUGAAAGUGGGGGACCUUCGGGCCUCAUGCUUGUGGAGCGGCCGAUAUCUGAUUAGCUAGUUGGUGAGGUAAAGGCUCACCAAGGCGACGAUCAGUAGCUGGUCUGAGAGGACGACCAGCCACACUGGGACUGAGACACGGCCCAGACUCCUACGGGAGGCAGCAGUGGGGAAUUUUGGACAAUGGGCGCAAGCCUGAUCCAGCAAUGCCGCGUGAGUGAAGAAGGCCUUCGGGUUGUAAAGCUCUUUUGUCAGGGAAGAAACGGCUCAGGCUAAUAUCCUGGGCUAAUGACGGUACCUGAAGAAUAAGCACCGGCUAACUACGUGCCAGCAGCCGCGGUAAUACGUAGGGUGCAAGCGUUAAUCGGGAAUUACUGGGCGUAAAGCGUGCGCAGGCGGUUUUGUAAGUCUGACGUGAAAUCCCCGGGCUCAACCUGGGAAAUUGCGUUGGAGACUGCAAGGCUGGAGUCUGGCAGAGGGGGGUAGAAUUCCACGUGUAGCAGUGAAAUGCGUAGAGAUGUGGAGGAACACCGAUGGGCGAAAGGCAGCCUCCCUGGGUCAAGACUGACGCCUCAUGCACGAAAGCCGUGGGGGAGCAAAACAGGAUUAAGAUACCCUGG